rnacentral:rRNA from 1 species
AACGAACGCUGGCGGCAUGCCUAACACAUGCAAGUCGAACGAGACCUUCGGGUCUUGUGGCGCUCGGGUGCGUAACGCGUGGGAACUUGCCCUUAGGUUAGGAAUAACUCCCCGAAAGGGGUGCUAAUACCGGUUAAGCUCUUCGGACCAAAGAUUUAUCGCCUUUGGAUGGGCCCGCGUUGGAUUAGCUAGUUGGUAGGGUAAAAGCCUACCAAGGCGACGAUCCAUAGCUGGUCUGUGAGGAUGAUCAGCCACACUGGGACUGAGACACGGACCAGACUCCUACGGGAGGCAGCAGUAAAGAAUAUUGGACAAUGGGCGAAAGCCUAAUCCAGCAGUGCCGCGGGAGUGAUGAAGGCGUUAGGAUUGUAAAGCUCUUUUAGCCGGGAUGAUAAUGACAGUACCGGGAGAAUAAGCUCCGGCUAACUCCGUG